rnacentral:lncRNA from 1 species
UGCUAAAUUGAGUGAAAACAGUAAAGCAGCAGAGAAAGCAAAAGCAGAUAGAAAAUCCAAAAAGAAAGAGUUAGUUGGAUGAGAAACCAAGAAAUAGAAGAAUGGAAGGGAGAGGAGGAGUAUUAGCCGGAGAUGGAGGCGAAGGACACGGCGGAGGUGGCGGAGCCGGUGGAAGGGAGAGGAGGAGUAUUAGCCGAAGAUGGAGGCGAAGGACACGGCGGAGGUGGCGGAGCCGGUGGUAAAUAUGGAAAUGGUUCAAAAUUCUUGAUGGGUAUUGACCCUUAGGAGCAGAAGAAAAAGGGUAUUUGUGAAGAGAAUCAGAUAAAGUUGGAGACUUUAGAAUAGAAGAGCUUGAGGAAGAA